rnacentral:rRNA from 1 species
GACGAACGCUGGCGGCGUGCUUAACACAUGCAAGUCGUACGGUAAGGCCCUUUCGGGGGUACACGAGUGGCGAACGGGUGAGUAACACGUGAGUAACCUGCCCACAACUGUGGGAUAACGCUAGGAAACUGGUGCUAAUACUGGAUAUGUGCUCCUGCUGCAUGGUGGGGGUUGGAAAGCUCCGGCGGUUGGGGAUGGACUCGCGGCCUAUCAGCUUGUUGGUGGGGUAGUGGCCUACCAAGGCGGCGACGGGUAGCCGGCCUGGGAGGGUGACCGGCCACAUUGGGACUGGGAUACGGCCCAGACUCCUACGGGAGGCAGCAGUGGGGAAUAUUGCACAAUGGGCGCAAGCCUGAUGCAGCAACGCCGCGUGCGGGAUGACGGCCUUCGGGUUGUAAACCGCUUUCAGCAGGGACGAAGCUUUUUGUGACGGUACCUGCAGAAGAAGCACCGGCUAACUACGUG